UGAUUUUGAAGAAUGUACCCAUGUUUUGAUACAAUAAUUUUUUUGGUUAAUUUUGAUGAAUGUACCCAUGUUUAUACACACACACACACAAUAGUGUAUUUAUAUUUUAAGAUUUUUUAUCCCACAAAUUAUGAUUUUUUAUUUAAAAUCUCAAUUAUAUAAACAACUAAAAUUUCUAAUUUUUAAUUUAAAAAAUAUAGUAACGUACAUAGAAAUAAAUUAUCACAUUAAUUUCAGGGACCUAGAUCAAAAAUUAAAAACCAACAAGGUUUUAAUCAAAGAAUAUUCAUAACUAAGGACCGUAUCCAAAGUCUCCCUUUUAAAAAGAAAUUCAUUCAAUUUUUAUCCAUUUUGAUCACGAGUGUGGAGCCAAAAAUAAUCAAGAGACGGCACAUGGAUUUUUGGGCAGAAAUGACAAAAUUACCCUUGAGGAGCAUCGAAAUUCCCACUCACAAGCAGUAGGCAAUCAUCCCACAAUCAAGUCAAAAGUGCCCAAAAUAGGUAUUUAUUCAAAACCUAUUUCAUCCAUCUUCUCCGCAAGGUAACUCCCAAAAACAUUCAUUUUAAAUUAUGUUAAUUAGCUAAUUAAUCUAUUAAUGGCUAAUUAAAUUACCAAUAAACUAUAAAAUACACUCAAAAACACCACAAAAGGCCGGCCAUGUUCUCCCCCAAUGAGGCCCGCCAUGCCCUAUAUAUACUACCUCAUUUUCUCUAAAAAUCCAGGUCUACACUCUUGCUAAAUACUCAAAAUUUUCCAAACACUUUUCCCUCAAAAUUCUAACUUUGGCAUUUGAGGUUCUUCAGCCAAAGCCCCCCCCUAAAUUCAUCGUGGGCGCGUGAGGCUAUUGGCCUUGACCUAAGGUGUUAUUUGUUUUGUAGGUGCAAUUUUGUCCAAGAACAAGGAGGAAGAAAUUUGCAUCCACAAAUUGGUGUUUUCAUUGAGAGUUGAGUCCCCGCUCGUAGAAGACUCUCGCAUCCAAGGUUUUUCUAUUUUUCUUGUACAUUUGUAGAUUUUUCGUAUGUUUUUAUUAUUAGAAUUUUUUAUUUGCAAAAAUUCUUUGAUAAAAUGUAAUAGAGAAGUACAAUGGCUAGAAAUUUAGAAAAUUCAAAUAUUCAAGAGAUGGGACCGCGGUGAUUCCCAAGGCUAAAUGUGACAAUAAGUGGAGCGGCACCACCACCAUGAGUUUCCAUCACGGGAACCACCGCGGUGGCUACCACGGUAGCCACCCACGGCGAGGUCUAUGAUGUCACCACCACGGCCCGAGUCGUGCCAUCCAAAGCCUACAGCACCAAGGUCACGACCCAAGCCAAGUCACUACACGCCUAACGUGAACCCAAUGCGUUGCCAAGCCGAGCCCAAGCCUCGCACCCACAUGCGUUGCACAUCGAGUAGCCUACUCCCGUGGCCCAGCUUGCUCCCGCUGAGCAGCCUAUUCCCGUGGCCUUCCAAGCAGCCUAAAUCAGUCCAAGAUUAGUUCAAUCAUCCCGACUCCAAAUUUCUGGACCGACGAUCAAACCAGAAGCAUUUUCACCACAUUUUUCUGCGGAUUUGACAUUUCCCAACUCAAAUCUCGCGCCCAGAGUCGACCAUACUUCCACUGCUCAAUGAAAUACAUUCCUUCCAAGUUAUUCUAACCCAAAUGGAGAACAACACUUGUCUCGACAAGUUAUAGAGUUGACGAGCACCCUCGCAUAGCAGACGACCUUGGUGAAUCAGCUUUUGCAACCCACCGAGAUGCAAUGUGCCCCUGACAAGGUGUCCCAACGUAGGACAAGGGCAGACGAAGAAUCUCUCCAGCAAGCAGCCACUUAACCAGUCGCGAACCGAGCGUUCUAAUGUAGUAUACUCUAGUCUUAGCACGAGGAGAAACAUGCAUUCUCAGUUAGGCCCACGGACAAACAUAUACUCACGGUUGGGGCCAUACUCCGAUAAUCAACAUGAGCAACAUUCUAGGUGAAGUGUUCAUUCGCGGCAAGGCCCGCAAGGAGCAUCAUUCACCUCACAUCAAAGUAGGCAGCACAACGGACAAAGAGAAGCAAUCACUCAAUCUGGCUCAAGUUCAACCAGCAACCUAUGAGUUACUUGCUCGCUUGCUAGGAACAUACCAAAUGCACCGCAGCUGCACUGUAGACUAGCUGAACAUAUGGAUGAGCAUCCUAGACCAGUAGGUCACGACCGAGGACAGCCGAGAGCUCCGCCAUCCCCAACAAAGGUAAAUUCAGGAAAAAGUAUAAAAACUCAUGACCAAGCGAUUUAAGAGAUUUCUUGCGCAACGAAGCUAUUAACAAGGCGCUCCGAUGAGACAUGACCAACAUAAACUAGUCAUCUUUCAAUGACAAGAUCGAGCAGGCGGGACUACCCCACAUAGAUUGCCGGAUACAAAGACUACUUCUGUUCCGACAACAGCUUAGCCUAAUGGUGCGCCGGGGGUAGACGAGUACCAGAAUGACACACUAACCCAACUACCAAGAAUCGAAGGCAUGCCUUGUUCUCAACACUUCAGACGAUUUAAUACUGAAGUAGCACAUCAUCAGUAGCCAAGCAUCACAGACUUAUUGGUCCAAUUCCUCCUGUUGCGCACAACCUGGCCUAAGCCCUGCUUUCACAAUCGUGCCUACCUGCUCCACGGCUCUCGACAGCCAUUGACCUAUCACCAUGGCUUAUAACUGUGUCAAUCUUGCACCACGGUUCCCAGCUGUGCCGAUUUUGCCACGUUGCUCACAUCAACCAAGCUUCAAAAGGGCACACGACGAAACACAUAAUGAUGGCACAAUAAUUCUGGGAAUUGCUCACUGUGCUUACACCCUUACGUGGGUUCCACAAACAGUUCGAAAUCUCAAGCAGUUCGCCAAACAAGACCUCGCAGGCUGAGGAUUAUUUCAGUUGUCCAGCAGUCCAGCUUUCCUUAACUGUUGUCCACAACAACUACUCAAAACCCUUUAUGGGUCCACUCUCCAGUGUGAGAGGAUAAAUUAAUUGCUCUCCAAUGCUAGAGGGUAAACCAAUUCCCCGACACCUAUAUGGGUCUGCUCUCUAGUGCGAGAGGAUAAACUAAUUACUCUCCAGUGCGAGCACCCAUAUGAGUUUAUUUUCCAGUGCAAGAGGAUAAACUAAUUGCUCUCUAGUGCGAAAGGGUAAACCAAUUCCCCGACACCCAUAUGGGUCUGCUCUCUAGUGCGAAAUGAUAAACUAAUUGCUCUUCAUUGCGAAAGGGUAAACCAAUUCCCCGACACCCAUAUGGGUUUGCUCUCAAGUAUGAGAGGAUAAACUAAUUGCUUUCCAGUGCGAGAGGGUAAACUAAUUGCUCUCCAAUGCGAGAGGGUAAACUAAUUCCCCGACACCCAUCUGGGUAAGCUCUCUAGUGCGAGAAGGCCACAUAAGUCAAAAGAUCAAAUGCUUGAAGAUCAACUAGGCAGUAAAUGGUCAUGGGGCAUCAACCACUUUUGCACUUAAUAGUUCGCUCAUCCGAUCCGACACUUCAUCUUCAACAGCUCCGAUCUUGGCAGCUCCACCCUUGACUGCUCCAUCUACGGCAGCUGAUAAAUCAAACUCAAGCAGUUUCCUCAUUUUUGGUAAGCAGCCCAGACGUGCAGCACAAAUCGUUGCCCAUGCCUAUCUUUAGCUUCAAUCAAGCCGAGCAACACAAGCAAUGGCCCCUGCCACACCACCUCAUUUGCCCAUGCUAAGCCAACUUCUGGCCCUUGCCAGCCGAAGUGCCGCACCACCCCAACAGUUGCCUCGUGGCAGCACCUCCCAAGAAGAAGACAAUGAGAAUUAAGUUUUUCUUACAUUGGUGCGGCUCAAAGAAGACAAAGAAAUCAACGGAAGACAAUUCUUUGCAUAGGCAAGCAAAGAAGAGUGCUAAGGGAGGGGGAACAAAUAUCAUCUAGCUUUCUCUCUUUCUUAUAGGGAUAAAUAAUUGCCCUCCGAAGUUGAUUUAAUCCCCUACUUAACGUAGGCUUAAAUAGGCUAUGGAGCCGAUUUAUUUCCCUUUCAUAGAAAAAGCUAAUUCCAAGUCCAAGAGAUAAUCUGCAUCAAAGUUGGAGAUCUCAACACCUGUUGCCCUUUCCUGUGAGCAGCCCAGCAGGUGUGGGGGCAUUUGUGGAGCCAAAAAUAAUCAAGAGAGGACACGUGGAUUUUUGGGUAGAAAGGACAAAAUUACCCUUGAGAAGCACUGGAAUUCCCAUGCACGAGCAAUGGAAAUCAUCCCAUAAUCAAGUCAAAAGUGCCCAAAAUAUGUAUUUAUUCAAAACCUACUUCAUCCAUCUUUUCCACAAGGUAACCCCAAAACAUUCUUUUUAAAUUAUGUUAAUUAGCUAAUUAAUCUAUUAAUGGCUAAUUAAAUUACCAAUUAACUACAAAUACACUCAAAAACAUCACAAAGGGCCGGCCACCUUCUCCCCCAAGGAUGCCCGCCAUGCCUUAUAUAUACUACCCCUUUUUCUCUAAAAACCUAGGUCUACACUCUUGCUAAAU
rnacentral:lncRNA from 1 species